rnacentral:rRNA from 1 species
AUGGCGUCACCGCCUCCGAAGGGGGAGUCGUUUGACUUCGAGGAUCCACGCGCGCAGGAAGCCAUGGGGUCUGCGUCCGCGUCCUAUAGCCCUCCUGGAGGCGUCUUCGGCAUCUCCCCACCAGAGUCCUCGCGGCGCGACAGCCGAAAGAGAAGGAAAGAUAGACCUUCAUGGGUCAAACAUACGUUCACACCUCAUUUUGACGGUCACCUGUGGAGAAAGUACGGCCAGAAAAACAUCAAGGACUCUGUCUUCCCAAGGCUUUAUUACAGAUGCUCUUACCGUGAAGACAAGCAAUGCCUAGCCUCAAAGCUGGUGCAACAGGAGAACCACGAGGACCCACCACUGUUCAAGGUCACCUACACGUACGAGCACACGUGCAACACCGCACCCGUCCCAACUCCCGAUGUCGUGGCCGAGCUGCCGGCGCCGGCAACUGGCGACGCGCUCUUUCUGAGGUUCAACUCCACCGGCGCAGGCCACCGAGACGCGCACCGGAUGGAGCAGGAACGGCAUUACCAGCAGCCUGCGGCACCUGGGUGGCCGUCCAUGAUGCUGAGCUUUGAUUCUAAUAGCCAGCAGCACGAACAGUGUACGUUCCCUUCCGAGCUGCCGCCAACUGCGUCGUCGUCGUCGUUUUCGACCGAGGGACUGCCAGCGCCGCCGUCUACAACCGAUGGCGGAGGCGACGGGUUCUCGACGUGGGACUCGUUGAGAUACGGAUUAAAUGACCAUGUGCACUUCGGCGACCAUUCGUAUCUCCCAAACAGUGGUAAUGAUGGUGACGAUAACUACUGA